UUGUGGGUGGUAGGAAUGACUCUCCCUAUUUUACAGAUGCUGAAACUGAGGCACUGAGACCUGAAAGCAGGAGCAUAAACAUUCUAGAGCAAGUCACUGAUAGAACCGGGAAGCCUACAGUCUUAAAAUCUGACUGGACUGAAUUCAAUCGAGUUAGGAGCCAUCUGCUUCCCUGAUGACUCAGUGGUAAAGAAUCUGCCUGCAAUACAAAAGACUCAGGAGACGUGGGUUUGAUCCCUGGGUCAGCAAGAUCCCUUGGAUGAGGGCACGGCCACCCACUCCAGUAUUCUUGCCUGAAGAAUCCCAUGGAUAGAGGAACCCAGUGGACUACAGUCCAUGGGGUUGCAAAGAGUCAACUUAUCACGAACACACGUACUGAGGACACAGAUGUUAAUGAGAGCUCUUGUCAGCCAGGAUCCUGGAAAUGAAUAAGAGGGAAAUUUAUUGGAGAACUUUAUUUGGACUGGAGGACCCAUUUGUGCAAGUGCAUUCCUUAUUAAUAGGUCUUUGUUCUUGCUGUAACCCUCAGCCAGGCUGUCUCUGGCAGAAGAAUACACUUCAUCAAAAGUGUCUGCAGGUUGUCAAACUCAGGGAGGUUUGGGGACCCUCUGAGGCUGUCAUGGUCAACAAGAAGAUUUUCUGUCGGGCUUUGCCAUCACUCACCCCGAG
rnacentral:lncRNA from 1 species